AAUCCUCAAGGGGGGCCUGCCUCUGCCUCUCGUGGCUUUUGGGUGGGCGGCCCUUGGACUUGGGAGUGCUGUGGGGCCCCUGGCCCUGCUCUCCUCAAACACAUCAGCAGGGGGCCUCUUUCCGCUCUGGGAUCCUGGCAGCGUUGAUAGUCGGUUGUCCACGCCCUCUCCCGUCGGGUUUUGCCCUGCUUUCCUCUUCUCUUUGAACA
rnacentral:misc_RNA from 1 species